rnacentral:rRNA from 1 species
AGGGUUCGAUUCUGGCUCAGGAUGAACGCUGGCGGCGUGCUUAACACAUGCAAGUCGAACGGGAUCCAUCAGGCUUUGCUUGGUGGUGAGAGUGGCGAACGGGUGAGUAAUGCGUGACCGACCUGCCCCAUGCACCGGAAUAGCUCCUGGAAACGGGUGGUAAUGCCGGAUGCUCCAUCACAUCGCAUGGUGUGUUGGGAAAGCCUUUGCGGCAUGGGAUGGGGUCGCGUCCUAUCAGCUUGAUGGCGGGGUAACGGCCCACCAUGGCUUCGACGGGUAGCCGGCCUGAGAGGGCGACCGGCCACAUUGGGACUGAGAUACGGCCCAGACUCCUACGGGAGGCAGCAGUGGGGAAUAUUGCACAAUGGGCGCAAGCCUGAUGCAGCGACGCCGCGUGAGGGAUGGAGGCCUUCGGGUUGUAAACCUCUUUUGUUAGGGAGCAAGGCACUUUGUGUUGAGUGUACCUUUCGAAUAAGCACCGGCUAACUACGUGCCAGCAGCCGCGGUAAUACGUAGGGUGCAAGCGUUAUCCGGAAUUAUUGGGCGUAAAGGGCUCGUAGGCGGUUCGUCGCGUCCGGUGUGAAAGUCCAUCGCUUAACGGUGGAUCCGCGCCGGGUACGGGCGGGCUUGAGUGCGGUAGGGGAGACUGGAAUUCCCGGUGUAACGGUGGAAUGUGUAGAUAUCGGGAAGAACACCAAUGGCGAAGGCAGGUCUCUGGGCCGUUACUGACGCUGAGGAGCGAAAGCGUGGGGAGCGAACAGGAUUAGAUACCCUGGUAGUCCACGCCGUAAACGGUGGAUGCUGGAUGUGGGGCCCGUUCCACGGGUUCCGUGUCGGAGCUAACGCGUUAAGCAUCCCGCCUGGGGAGUACGGCCGCAAGGCUAAAAC